rnacentral:sRNA from 1 species
GCAACCGAAAAAUCGGUUGUCGGGAUUGGCGUCCCGGAUAUUCACCGCAACAGACACACGCCGCGAGCGUGUUUUUU